GUGAGGAAUAUUGGACAAUGGGCGCAAGCCUGAUCCAGCCAUGCCGCGUGCAGGAAGACGCAUCUAUGGUGUGUAAACUGCUUUUGUACGGGAAGAAACACUCCCUCGUGAGGGAGCUUGACGGUACCGUAAGAAUAAGGAUCGGCUAACUCCGUGCCAGCAGCCGCGGUAAUACGGAGGAUCCAAGCGUUAUCCGGAAUCAUUGGGUUUAAAGGGUCCGUAGGCGGUUUGGUAAGUCAGUGGUGAAAGCCCGCAGCUCAACUGUGGAACGGGCAUUGAUACUGCCAGACUUGAAUUACAAGGAAGUGACUAGAAUAUGUAGUGUAGCGGUGAAAUGCUUAGAUAUUACAUGGAAUACCAAUUGCGAAGGCAGGUUACUACUUGUGGAUUGACGCUGAUGGACGAAAGCGUGGGGAGCGAACAGGAUUAGAAACCCUAGUAGUCC
rnacentral:rRNA from 1 species